rnacentral:rRNA from 1 species
CCUACGGGAGGCAGCAGUGGGGAAUAUUGCACAAUGGGGGGAACCCUGAUGCAGCGACGCCGCGUGAGUGAAGAAGUAUCUAGGUAUGUUAAGCUCUAUCAGCAGGGAAGAAAAUGACGGUACGUGACUAAGUAGCCACGGCUAACUACGUGCCAGCAGCGGCGGGAAAACGGCGGGGGCAAGCGUUAUCCGGAUUUACUGGGGGUAAAGGGGGCGUAGUCGGUUAUGCAAGUCUGAAGGGAAAACUCAAGGGUCAACCAUGGGACUGCUGUGGAAACUGUAAAACUGGAGUGGAGGAGAGGUAAGCGGAAUUCCUGGUGUAGCGGUGAAAUGCGUAGAUAUUAGGAGGAACACCAGUGGCGAAGGCGGCUUACUGGACUCUAACUGACGUUGAAGCUCGAAGGCGUGGGGAGCAAACAGGAUUAGAUACCCUUGUAGUC